rnacentral:rRNA from 1 species
UACGGGGGGGGUAAGCGUUGUUCGGAAUUACUGGGCGUAAAGGGCUCGUAGGCGGCCAACUAAGUCAGGCGUGAAAUCCCUCAGCUUAACUGGGGAACUGCGUCUGAUACUGGAUGGCUUGGAUUCGGGAGAGGAAUGCGGAAUUCCAGGUGUAGCGGUGAAAUGCGUAGAUAUCUGGAGGAACACCGGUGGUGAAGGCGGCAUUCUGGACCGAUAUUGACGCUGAGGCGCGAAAGCUAGGGGAGCAAACAGG